rnacentral:tRNA from 1 species
GCCGCCAUGGUGAAAUUGGUAGACACGCUGCUCUUAGGAAGCAGUGCUCAAGCAUCUCGGUUCGAAUCCGAGUGGCG